AUUGAACGCUGGCGGCAUGCCUUACACAUGCAAGUCGAACGGUAACAGGUCUUCGGAUGCUGACGAGUGGCGAACGGGUGAGUAAUACAUCGGAACGUGCCUAGUAGUGGGGGAUAACUACUCGAAAGAGUGGCUAAUACCGCAUGAGAUCUACGGAUGAAAGCAGGGGAUCGCAAGACCUUGUGCUACUAGAGCGGCCGAUGGCAGAUUAGGUAGUUGGUGGGAUAAAAGCUUACCAAGCCGACGAUCUGUAGCUGGUCUGAGAGGACGAUCAGCCACACUGGGACUGGGACACGGCCCAGACUCCUACGGGAGGCAGCAGUGGGGAAUUUUGGACAAUGGGCGAAAGCCUGAUUCAGCAAUGCCGCGUGCAGGAUGAAGGCCUUCGGGUUGUGAAUUGCUUUUGUACGGAACGAAAAGCUCUGGGUUAAUACCCUGGGGUCAUGACGGUACCGUAAGAAUAAGCACCGGCUAACUACGUGCCAGCCGCCGCCGUAAAAC
rnacentral:rRNA from 1 species